rnacentral:rRNA from 1 species
AGGAUACACCUGUUCCCAUUCCGAACACAGAAGUUAAGCUCUCUAGCGCUGAUGGUACUUGGUGGGAAACUGCCUGGCAGAGUAGGACGUAGCCACGU